GAACCCGUGGAGGAAGCGCCCGUCCGACCCCACGUCGCAGCCGGUCAUUUCCUGGAGGGUGUGAGACCCUGACCCCGCCCAAGGGCACCCGCGGCUCCAGCCUGGCCCUGGCGGCGUCACUGUGGAACCGCAGGAUCUCCCUGUCGUCCACGUAGAUGACGACGGUGUAGCGGUUCUUCUCGCCGAGGGAGGGAUCUUAUCUGAGAGAUGACCAGGGACAUCACUGAGGGGGACAUGUAGCUUUCGUGGUGGACAGAAUUGAGAGUUCUCAUCGACUAGAAGUAAAAUCUGCCCCGCUGGCACUGAAUUGACUGCUCUAAGUUGGGCUUGUCCCCUGGAUGAAGAUCUAAGCCAACAACUAGAACUCGAACAGAACCAGAGAA